rnacentral:tRNA from 1 species
GAGGAAUAGCUCAGUUGCAGAGCGUGUGCUUAGCAUGCAUGAGGUCCUGGGUUCAAUCCCCAGUAUCUUCA